rnacentral:rRNA from 1 species
AACCUCCGCAAUGUGAGAAAUCGCGACGGGGGGAUCCCAAGUGCCAUUCUUAACGGGAUGGCUUUUCAUUAGUGUAAAGAGCUUUUGGAAUAAGAGCUGGGCAAGACCGGUGCCAGCCGCCGCGGUAACACCGGCAGCUCUAGUGGUAACAAUUUUUAUUGGGCCUAAAGCGUCCGUAGCCGGUUUAAUAAGUCUCUGGUGAAAUCCUGCAGCUUAACUGUGGGAAUUGCUGGAGAUACUAUUAGACUUGAGACCGGGAGAGGUUAGAGGUACUCCCAGGGUAGAGGUGAAAUUCUGUAAUCCUGGGAGGACCGCCUGUUGCGAAGGCGUCUAACUGGAACGGUUCUGACGGUGAGGGACGAAAGUUAGGGGCGCGAACCGGAUUAGAUACCCGGGUAGUCCUAACUGUAAACGAUGCGGACUUGGUGUUGGGGUGGCUUUGAGCUGCUUCAGUGCCGAAGGGAAGCUGUAAGUCCGCCGCCUGGGAAGUACGGUCGCAAGACUGAAACUUAAAGGAAUU